UACAGAGGGUGCUAGCGUUGUUCGGAAUCAUUGGGCGUAAAGGGCGUGUAGGCGGUUUGCUAAGUCAUGUGUGAAAUCCCUCGGCUCAACCGGGGAACGACGCAUGAAACUGGCAAGCUAGAGUACCAAAGAGGGGGGUGGAAUUCCCGGUGUAGCGGUGAAAUGCGUAGAUAUCGGAAGGAACAUCAGUGGCGAAAGCGGCUUCCUGGACCAGUACCGACGUUCAGGCACGAAAGCGUGGGGAGCAAACAGG
rnacentral:rRNA from 1 species